UACGUAGGGGGCUAGCGUUGUCCGGAAUCAUUGGGCGUAAAGCGCGCGUAGGCGGCCCGGUAAGUCCGCUGUAAAAGUCAAAGGCUCAACCUUUGAAUGUCAGUGGAUACUGCCGGGCUAGAGUCCGGAAGAGGCGAGUGGAACUCCUGGUGUAGCGGUGGAAUGCGCAGAUAUCAGGAAGAACACCGACGGCGAAGGCAGCUCGCUGGGACGGUACUGACGCUGAGGCGCGAAGGCGUGGGGAGCAAACAGG
rnacentral:rRNA from 1 species